UACGAAGGGGCCUAGCGUUGCUCGGAAUCACUGGGCGUAAAGCGCACGUAGGCGGAUUGUUAAGUCAGGGGUGAAAUCCUGGAGCUCAACUCCAGAACUGCCUUUGAUACUGGCGAUCUCGAGUCCGGGAGAGGUGAGUGGAACUGCGAGUGUAGAGGUGAAAUUCGUAGAUAUUCGCAAGAACGCCAGUGGCGAAGGCGGCUCACUGGCCCGGUACUGACGCUGAGGUGCGAAAGCGUGGGGAGCAAACAGG
rnacentral:rRNA from 1 species